AGCUGUACCUGAAACCAAGCACCUGUUUGUGACUUGGCUUCAGUUACUAGC
ensembl:miRNA MIR4718 microRNA 4718